GGGAGGGAAGGGGAGGUGCUAGGGAGAAAUGCAAAUUGCAAACCCUUCUGUAGGAUUUACAGCAUGGUAGCAUACUGACUGAAGAGCUAUGCUCACAUGCAACCUGUGUAGCAUCCUUGAGUCAGGCUUCCGUAUCCAGUUUUAGAGAAUGAAACUGUGGGGAGAAGCUAAAUAACCAAGGCAAAGUCACAGCUGGUGGUGGCAGGGACCAACCCUGGAAGCCUGGCUCCAGAGCCCACAGCUGCAGGACACGGAAGCGGGCUCAGCCUUCAGUGCUCAGUAUCGCUAUGCAGAUUUAGAGUAAUCAUCAUGCUUCAAAAUAUCCACAAAGACUCUCCAAACAGUUGUCACCGGUAGGAAUAUUAUUUUGGAAAGAGCAAUUUGCUGUCAUAAAAUAGGCUUCUCUGAUGUCUUCUCUAGACCAAGGUCCUAUAGAGCAGCUCAUGGAGGAGAGGAAAUCUUUACUCACUAUUGCCUGACUUAUGCUUAGCAAAGGUGGUUUUACUAUGCAGCUUGCUCAGUUUGCUAUGACAAAGUGCUAGAGACGAGGUGACUUAUAAACAGCCCUUCCAGUUAUCUCUCUGCUACUGUAAUAGAUACCCAAGAUAAGUCAACCUAGAAAGAGAAAAGGUUAAUCUUGCCUCACAGGUUUAGCCCAUAACCUGUUGACCCUAUUGUUUUGGACAUGUUAUGGGACAAUAGAUUGUACUAAAAGUGUGUGUUAGGAUAGGCUCAUUCACCUAAUGUUGUGUGGGAAAGAGAAGGAGAGGGCUGGAGUCUCCUUAUUCCCAUUGAACUCUUGUCUCCAGUGAUCGGAAACCUCACAGUAGGCAACACAUCUGAAGGUCUUCCAGCUCCCAGUGGAGGUGACCCGGAGACCAAGCCUUUAACAUAUGGGCCUUUGGGAGACAUUCAAGCUUCAACUACAGCAGCAACAAAAAAAUGACUUCCCACCAUUGUGGAGACCAGAAGCAAGUUAAGGUGCCUGUGUGGAUGGGCUCUGGUGACGACUCCACCUUGAUUGCAGAAAGUUGACUUCUUGCCUUCUCACAUGUCAGACAGAAGACAAGAGAGCUCCACUGGGCUCUUGUUUGUGAGCUCUUCAUCUUCGUGGCUUGUCUGACGCACAAAGGUUCUGCCUGACAUCCAGGAGUUAAAAUCUCAACAGACGCAAUUUGAGGAAACAUAAACUUUAAAUCCAUGCUAUCAUGUUAUACUCAAAAGAGCUUGUGAGACACAGCCAGGUCUCGAAAGAGGUGUGAAUGGGUGUGUGUGGUACUGGGCUAGCAUGAAGCUGUUUGGCCAAAACAACCCUGCAAAGCCCUCUGCUAUCUGAGGCACGUGAGGUACUGGCCUAGUGCUUCGUAUGGAAACACACAGUAGGAGCCACUGAGAGCCUGUGGCAAAUCCAGGGCCGGGUUGACUCCAGUGCUCUAGUAGAUUUUGUGGUCUCUUCCUGGAAUAUUUGGAGGACAAGCUGAAAAACCAAAGUGUGACCUUUAUGUGCCCUGGUAAAAGCAGGAACAACAAAGAAAUACCCCAGAGGAGUCUGACCUUAUUUUAUAUGGGGCCAUCUUGGUGAGGCUAAUGUAAUACAGUAGAGGAAGGAUUUUUUUAAAAAGUCCCAAGAGGACUAAUAAAAUGGCUUUGAAUUUCAUUAUGUAGUAGAAAGAGGCACAAAUCCAAUUAGCCACAAAAUGAGACUUUUUCUAUCCCUUCCCUGAAGCUGAUCCAAAGAUAAGCUGUGCCCAUGCGUAUGCUGGGGCUGCCUUUAAGAUCUCCAUUGUGAAGGAAGAUGGUCUUGUCAAGUGUUCAGACCUUAACUUCCCCCUUUGUAUGAUGCCAGUGAAAGUGGUGUGCCCCAUGGCUCUGGUGGGUGGCUGUGCUCUGUGUUCUCAGUCCACCCUCGGGCACACGGUGACAUUAUGGGCUGUUGCUUUUAUGAACUCAUGUGGUAAGUUAUGUCAUAACUGUGGGGCAACAGAGCUUUUGACUUUCUAACCUGGUUCUUUGAUGUCCUCUCAGUGCUUUCAUUCUUCUAAACCUAACUGACGCCCACCCACGAUGGUCAGAAUGACAGUAAACAUAAAGGACCAUGUGCUCGAAGUCAUGGCCGAGUUUAGAGUAAGUGGAGAAAUAUUAGUGAGAUUUUUUCUUUCUAUCCGGGCUUUCAGAGAACUCUGCAGAUGAUGGGAGCUUGGAACAUGUGACCAUUUAUUUGUUCUUCAUCCAUAUUCUCUUGUUUAAGUCAGGCAGCUGGUUUCCUUUUUGUUUACUCUGUUUCACUGUAGUUCGUGUGAAACUAGGGACCACAUCACAUCAGGCAGAGGAAGCAGUCUCAAUUGGGCAAAUUGUUGACCUUGAGAUGGAGAAAAAAAGACACCAACAAAAGAAGACAACAGAGCUCACUCCAUGUCUCUUGAAAGACUUGCUCUGUAGGAGCAUGUACUAAACCUCUUUGCAUUUUGAGGGUUAAAGACAUCCUUUGGCCAAGCCACCCCUUGAGGAUGGAGAAGUGGAGCAUUCCUAAGGAGGAAUUAGGAAACGAUUGGGCAAAAUACAUCUUUGAUAUUAUCAGUGGGUGAUUAAGCCAUGUUGAAACCUACGUAUGCAUUUAGGGAGUCAAUAACCCCAAUGGCCUUCAUUUCCCAAUGCUGUGUAUCUAGGGAAAGCAGUGCAUACUGAUUGCUGUGGUUGCUAUGCAUUCUGUGUCUAGGCCCAGCUUAGCUGUAUCCUCUGCUCACGGUCCCACCACUAGACCUAUGGUAAUGGCUUGGCUUGUGGGGUCUCCUUUAUCUGAUCACAUGAAUAUGCCUAGUAUCAUCUGAUGUAGCAGGGCUCCAGGGUUCUUGGCAAAAUGCAGUUCUCUGUGAUUGUAAACUAAAGGUCUUUGGCUCCCAAAGGCCUUGUAUAGUUUUGUCAUAUUCUCUCCAAAGGCAAGCGAUGGCACACAGGUAUCUCUUUGUCAACAUCACCAGGAGUAGACUCCUUGUCUGAUCUUAACUGGUUUCAGCUUGUUUCUUGGGCCCAGGGCAGACAACAUGGGUCUCGAGACUGUUCUCUGGCAUUCAGACCCCAGAUUUUUGGCAUGUAUGGGCGACUCUCUAUGGGUUACUCAACCUUUAUGUGUUCAAAAGUCUCCUGACUUAUAAACUGGAAAAAUGAAGAUAGUUACUUCCUAGGAUUGUUAGAAGUUUGUGAUAUGUCACUUAGAAGUAAGUCUGGGGCAUGUCGGGCAUUUACCAUUGUAUACUUAUAUUUUUUAAAACCUACUUUUUUAACUAUGUUUUUUUAAGUAAGGUUCUUGAAUGCUUUAACCUUUGCUCUAGCCCACCACCCACCAGAGGGAGUGGAAAGAAAAGGUUAGUAGGGCAAAGGAGGAUGUGGACCUGUUUAGAAAUGGUUCGUUGGAGCAAAUCCAAUCUGUGUUGUGAGGAUAUCAGACGUUCAGUUCACACAAAUCGGCAGCAACAGCUCAGUCCAGAGGAAACCAAAUCUAAUUGGUCCAAGCCUGCAGAAGCAGAAAGAAGCCCUAGGAACACCACCAGAAGUUCUUUGGUGCAUUUCUCUCUAUGAAGUCAUGACAAGCAAUGACCAGAAAAGAAUGGCAAGGCGUACCAAUACCACACAGCACUGCCCACUGUCUGCUGGGUUAGAUUUAUAUCCUUUUCAAAUAUCACUUGUUCUCUCAAGCACCCUCUCUAGCAAAACAUCACAUGUCCUUUUUUAUUGCUACUUCUCUAGAAACACUGAGUGUCUGUUUUCAGUUGAACAUCACAUGGCAGAAUGGAGUCUUCAAAGAAACCAGAAAAAAUUUCACUUUAUACCAUUGUUUUUGUGUGUCUGCUGUAUGCCAUUCACCAUGCCACUCAAGGAGCUGGGGAAAAGAGCCCUAGUCUGGUCAUCUUAGGGUCUGUAGAUAUUCAAACCAAAGGGACUUGCCACCCGUGAUCAGUGUUUCAGCAUGACCAAAUACAGAGUAACAGCCUCUAGAAGAAAUGGGCAGACUCACAGGUGUGUGUGUGUGUGUGUGUGUGUGUGUGUGUGUGUGUUUGUGUGUGUUUGUGUGUGCAUGAGUGUGUGUGUGUAUGGAUGUGUGUAUGUGUGUAUGGGUGUGUGUGUGUGCAUGCAUGUGCGUGUGAACUUGGAUGGGUUUGCACAGAUAGGAGAAGCGGAGUGGGCAGGAGGCUGGGUCACAUGCCAGAACAUAGGAAAUGGUCUUGAAAUGCUUUAGAGUAUUCAAGGAAUGGGGUCAGCUUCCGAGGGAUGAGAUGAAGCAUUUGUAGGAGUGGACUGAGGUUAUACAAGGAUGGGAAGUGAUGGGGGAUAUGCAGUGAAUAGGAAUUAGGGCAAGAAAGUUCCUUUAGGCAAGGGUUUCUCAGAAUCCUGUAAUUGUAUUUGUCUUUGGGCAGAGGCCUUGAAAAGGUUCAUUCAUUAGAUAAAAGGUUACGUCUUGGGGUUGACGUCAGAUCUUUUAUGGUGACUACUUGGAUGAUCUUCCUCCUGUUCCCAUUGGGAGUUUGAUAAUCUGGUUAUUGGGAGCACAGAAGGAAAAAUACCUGAGAAUGCAGUCAUUUGUGCUCAUCCGUGGAGUAGGUGGUUUCUGAACUGGUGGUUUGUGUCAUUUUCUCUUUCCUUUGAUGGUGUUGGAAUUCUGCUUACUACACACACAGUCCUUUACUUAGAAAUGACUCACACGCUAAACAUUCUUUCUUACUCUAGUUAUGGGUACCGAGCCCAGGAUCUCAUGCAUGCUAGGGUAGUGUUCUACUAUUGACCGCCAUCCCAGCCUCUACAAGUUCAUUUCAAGUCAGUUGUUGGGACCACCAACUGCUCAGCUACAUAGAAAUUAUAAUGCAACUGGUUGCUAGGUCUUGAGGAAUAUUCUGGACUUUUACGGUACAAACUACCUGAGUAGUUGCUAACAUUCUCAAACAAAUGACAUAAUUAUAAUUCUAAUGGCCUUUGUUUUAAAAGGCUGGAAUGAUGGUUCAGCAGUGAAGGGCACUGGCUGUUCUUCCAGAAGACUCAGGUUCAAUCUCCAGAUCUCACAUUGUUCCUCACAACCCUCUGGGAUCUGAUGCCUUCUUCUGGUCUCUGGUGGCACUGCAUGAAUGUGGUACUCAUGCAUGCAGACAAAACACACAUACAUAUGAAAUAAUAAAACAGUCUUAAAACUUAAAAAUUAGGCCAACGGUAAUGCUGGACAGAGACAGUGAUGUGACGAUGAUUAUCCAUUCUACUUAGAUCUGUAUAUACUCCAAAUCCCUGGGAGCAUCAGUUAAUUGAAAAAAUAAAACCUGACUGGGAGAUCAGUACAGACCAGAAAACUGGGGCUCUAAGAAGUGAUGUUGCUGUUCCAGUCACAGGCACUGUCAGUUUUAGGAGAUGAGGGCUGUGAGACAAGAAGAUCUCGAAGCCAUGCAUUUCUAAAUAUUUGGAGGAGGGCAUCAUAGAUCUUUAAAAGAUAUGACCUUGGGUUUUGUCAUCUUGUUGCAACAAGAUGCAUUAGAAACUGUACAGUAGAAAGUUCCAAAUGUCAAAACGUCUUCCCAUAGCAAACCACUUGAGUAGGCAUAUGUCCCUUCACUUGAAAAAGAUACUGGGCAAGGCAAAUUGUUUCAUUGUAGAAUAUAUGUCUAUGUCUAUAUAUGUAUGUAUGUGUCCAUACAUAUGUAAGUGUAUGAUAUGUAUAUAUGUUUCUAGAAAGUGCAGGAGAGAAAGAGGAGAGGAGAAGAGAGGCCAGGGGAGAAGGGGAGAAGAGGAGGGAGGCAUUAUGUGACAAGGAAGCAGCUAUUUACUGACACUGAGCCCUGCCCUCAGGAUCCCUUAGCUAUUUCUUACAGGAUUUAUUACAUGGCUAAUAAAUCAUUACUUUUAAAAGUAACAAAAUUAAAAUUUUUAGGAUGGACAACACAAUGUUUUGACACAUGUAUUCAUUGUAGAAUGACUAAAUCAAGCUAAUGGACACAGGCAUCACUCCGUGUAAAUACCAUUCCAUUGUUACAGGAAAGCCUCACACCUAGUCUACUGGUGACUUUCAAGUAGACAGUGUAUCGUUAUUAACGAUUUAUUGGGUGAUUUAACGUUUUCAAGGAUGCUCUUUAAAAUUGGGGAACUGAGGACUGUUUUCCUAUACGUUCCGUGGGCCCAAAUACCCUUUUUGUAUAUCGCCUUUGUGAAGAGUUUGAUGAGCUUAUGAAAAGAUGAUUUAGCAUAAUUUAGAUGGCGUUAGUCAAUAACAUGAGGGGUCUGUGGCCGCUUAGCUGUCUCCACAUGCACCCUCAGGCCUUGAGAGAAGGGCGGAUCCCCACUCCCCGUGGCACAGCAGCGUCCCCAAAGUUUCCCUUCUGUUCCAUUCCGUGCAUUGUCUCUAGGGAUUGCUGCCUUCCUUCUCAUACCUAGUGGUAAGUCCCGUGGAGUACCUCCCUUGGCUGUGCCAAGGAGAGAGAGAACAUUUUAACCACAUCAGUCUUGGAAAAAUCAUUUUCAAGUAUUUUAAAUUAAAGUUGCUCCUUGACAGUCGUGUAUGUGUAAUACACUUCGAUCACUCGCUGUCUCUUACCUUUCUCUCACCCCGGUCAUCCUGUCUGCUUUACCGUAAGUCCCUUUACCUCGUCUCUUACCACGUCUUUUCGUUUUAUUUUGUGACCCACGGACUUUAACCAGAGCACAGGUUUGAAAACAUCCAUUAGAGAGACUGGUAGGCUCACCAUUGGGUACACGACGGAAGACAUUGGCUGUCUGUCCCUCAGAAUACAUCAAUAACCAACAGUUCAUCAUGGAGGACCAGAGCCCGGGAACCUCGUCAUCCACAAUUGGCUGUUUAUGGGCCCGGUUCAGACAAUGGUAGCUGCUUGCAGGGGAUCCUGUUUACAAUGGCUGUGUUGUGCCUAAAGAUAACAUUUUAGAUAUCUUUUUCUCCACCCUCCAGCCUUUACACUCACAGUCCUGGUGGAUGCUAUGUGGGGCACAGGGAGAAAAGACAUCAAUGACCCGGCUGUGAGGGCUACGACCUGCAGUCUGCCAGGUGUUUCUGUUUGUCUUUCAUUUCUGCCUCUCUUUCUGAGAAAGGGAAGUUGGAUUCCGGGUUGGCUGCCGAGAACCAGGGCUGAAGCCGCCUCUCUAGGUACGCCAGAGGAGAAAGAACAUUGAGAUUUCCGUCCUGGAUUGUCUGCUGAGACCAACCUUGGUCAAGAAGCCUGCCUCCUAUUUAUUGAUCCACACUCUUCACAUCUUAAAUAUUUAAUAAUGUGUUUUGCUGCUUGGUAGAUUUUUUUUGGAAGCCCAAGCUAAUGUCUCUUUGUGCACACCGGUGCAUAUAUUUAAGGACUGAUUGAACGACGGAUGCUGUCUCUUACCAUGUGCUACCUUGAGACUCUUCAGCCAUCCUAACAGGACAUCCUGUGCCAUGAAUGGGGAGAACCCCUGCUGAGAUCCUGGUUUCUGUCCUCUGAAGAGAGAACACCUUGACCUUCCUGUGGUAAAGCCUCUCACCUCCUCACUACAUUCUCCCCAUGACCUGAAGCUCUCUCACAAACUUCAACAUAAGGACUUGCUUUUAUUUUGCUGAGUGUCAUGUGGCCAUCUUAAUUUUCACCUGCAAGCAGAGCUGUAGACAUGGGAUAGUCUCAUGGACAGUCUGUUACCGUCUACUUUAAUUCAUAGCUGAUUGAUGAGUUCAUGUUGUCUCUAGGUUCCCACAUCUCUCCUUGCUCCCCAAGCCCAGUCUUGAAAGGAUGGAGUUUUGCAAGGAUCCUUCUUGCUCCCAUUGAGAGUCGGCUGUGAGAAGGACAGUCCAGUGGGCCUCAGCUUCCUCUCCACUGUUAGCUUUUACUCUUACUCACACCAAAUGGCUUUUCUCUACACUUGAGUUCGGAGAGUUCCUGCUGGACAAAAGGACAGGAGAACUCAGAGGGAACAAAUGUUCCGGGCCUGAGGAGGUGAGGAGGAGGGAGAAGUCAAAGGCCAAAGAAAGGCAGGGUGACAAAGAAGAGGAGGAGGUCUGGUUUGGAGAGCCUUUCAAAUCCCAAUUUGACCAGAAACAAAGGGCAUUUGACACAUUUUAAAGCAAAAAUAACCAAAAUUAGUAAUUACAUCUACCAGCUUGUUUAUCAACCAUCCAGUAAGUAUCAGCACAUUCUGUCCUUGGACUGUCAACUAAAUUAAGUGAUUGCCUUAAUUAAAACUAUGAAGAGAAAUGAAAAGAAUGCGGUGCAUUCCUGUUAAUGUUUUCAGAGUCUCACCACUACGGUAGAAACUUAGCUAAAUCAUUGCAGGGAAAGCAUUUGGUCAGGUUUUGAAAUACUAUUUGUAGUGACUGCCUAGCUACAGAAAUGGGCAUUUAGAAGGACCAUCUGGAAAAGAUAGAAUUAAAAUUAAAAACUGAAUGGGGCUGGAGGGACGGCUUUGCAGUUAAGAGUGCUUGCUACUCUUCUGGAGAACCUAACUUCAUUCCCCAGAACCCACAUUUGGUGCUCACAACUGCCUGUAGCUCCGGUCCAUGGUGUCUAACACCUUCUUUUAGCCUCCAGGAGCACAUGAACGUGGAACCCCCCCUUUCUCUUCUCUCUUAAAAAAAGUUUGCUCAGCAGACCAAAGUGAAGGGACGGUAUUUGUAUUUGCAAGGACAGGAGUACAGGUGUCCGAAUAGUUGUUAAUUUGCCAAGUUUUGAGCUGCGAGUUUUUCCUUGAUGUGGAUUCCAGGGAAGGAUUAUAGUUUAUCCUUUGUGAGAAACACCAUCUUAUUAUAAAAUGAAAAAAAAAAAACCCAGCCUCCACAGAAUCUGAGUCCUGAAUUUUGCUUCCGGCAUGCCAUCUCCCGUUUACUUAACUAGAGAAAUAAAAUUGGAGGGAAUUUGGCCUUCAGGUUAUAGGGCUGGGAAAUGCUUUGAGAGACCUUCUGGUUGGAUUACUUCUAAGCCCUCCCUGACAGAGGAAAAUUUAUCUUAUUUUUAAGUGCUCCCCAGAGGCAGAGCGUCCACAGACUCCCUUACUAACUCCUUCCAGUGUUUAACAAUCUCCACAUUCAGGAAAUUCCUUCUCCGGUCUUACCUAAGACCCUCUCUGUCCAGCUUAGCCCAUUUCUUUUGACCCAGUCCCAGAGGAGAUGUGGAAAGAAAGGUUACCCUCUUAUACAAACAUCCCUUCACAUGAUUAAAGAUUACUAUAAAAAAAGCCCCAAGUUGUCCAUCUCUGCUCCCUGAUCUCAUGGAACCACCCCACUUCCUUUAGGGUCCUGCUUUCUUUCAGGGUUCCAUCUCGUAGCCUUUUCUUCACCUUUCAGGGGGACUGGGCUAGGUUUGCAUCACCCAAGGUCUGCAAUGUGUGCUGGGAGAGGAGGCAGAACCCGACGUGUGUCCGUGCAUGUUCCCCAGACUCUGAGUGCCUGGCAGACUGGCAUUGAUAAUAUGGAUUUUUAAACUUUUUAUAUUUUCAUAUUAUAAUGGUUUUCAAGGUCAAAUCUAUUAUUCCUAGGUUUGUGAACAUUUCCAUUGGUAUACAUGAACUCUCUAGAUUUUUAAGCAGUGAGGAGGUAUAAUAGUAUAAUAGUACAUAAUAUCCUAAGAAUCACCACUGUACCUGGAGUUCACUAAUAAGAUGUGCUAAGAACCACAGCUGUCCCUUGGUCUUCACUGGAGAUGGGUUACAGGGUCCCUUUCUCUGCCCUUAGAUAUUCAAAUUUUCAGAAAUUCAGGUUCUUUAUAAAUGACGCACUGAUGUGCUGCUGUAUGUCAGACAUUUCCUUCAUAUACUUUACAUUAUCUCUAGAUUCCUAGUUAGGCCUAAGACAACAUGAAUGCUAUCUAAACAAUUUCUAUACUGCAUUGUUUAAGAACAUGCUUGUGUUUCUGGAUGGCUGUAAAGUGUCACAAAACAAAACCCCAAAUUAUGAGUCUGGGAAAGUGAAUGGUAGUUAUGAGGGGAGGUUGACAGCGAUGGGAGGGAGAUGAGACAGAAGAGUAGGGAGAGCUUAAUCAUAAUAUAUUGUAUACAUGUAUAAAAUGUCAAUUAAUAUACCAAUAAGAAGAAAACAAUUUCCUGAAAAAUAAAUUUAACUUAAAAAGUUUAAA